rnacentral:rRNA from 1 species
GACGAACGGGGCAAGCGUUGUUCGGAUUUACUGGGCGUAAAGGGGGUCUAGGUGGUCAGAUAAGUCUUCUGUGAAAACCCGGGGCUCAACUUCGGGACUGCAGGGGAAACUGCCUGACUUGAGUAUGUGAGAUGCGUGCGGAAUACUGGGUGUAGCGGUGAAAUGCGUAGAUAUCCAGUAGAACACCUGUGGCGAAAGCGGCCCGCAAGCACAUUACUGACACUGAAGCCCGAAAGCGUGGGGAGCGAACAGGAUUAGAUACCCCCGUA